GUGCAAAUUGAAGAGGCUGCCGAGACCCACUGGUCUACAAAAUAUUGCCAGGCACAAGACGAUCCUCAUUAUUUGACGUUUGACAAACGUCCAUUUGAUUUUCACGCUGCCGGGGUUUUCACAAUGUACAGGCAUAUGACAGAAGCAAUCGAGGUGCAAGUCAGGCAAGAGUCUUGUGGAGGCGGCACUGUUUUUUGCACUUGUGGUGUUGCCGUACGAGUUGGUGGUGACGUUUUUGUUAUUGACAGAUGUGGGACAACAUAUACCAAAAAAAUUAAGUAUACUUCAUGUCUUGAUGGGCAGCUUAGUGUUCACAAGGAAACAAAUUUAAAA